AUUGAACGCUAGCGGCAUGCCUAACACAUGCAAGUCGAACGAGUGGCGGACGGGUGAGUAAUGUCUGGGAAAUUGCCUGGUGGAGGGGGAUAACUACUGGAAACGGUAGCUAAUACCGCAUACCACCAGCGGGGCCCAGAUGGGAUUAGCUAGUUGGUGGGGUAACGGCUCACCAAGGCGAAGAUCCCUAGCUGGUCUGAGAGGAGGACCAGCCACACUGGAACUGAGACACGGUCCAGACGCAUACGGGAGGCAGCAGUGGGGAAUAUUGGAAAAUGGGAGCAAACCUGAUGCAACCAUGCCGCGUGUAUGAUGAAGGCCUUCAGGUUGGAAAGUACUUUCGGCAGGAAGGCGUUACCCGCAGAAUAAGAACCGGCUAACGCCGUGCCAGCAGCCGCGGUAAUUC
rnacentral:rRNA from 1 species